AACGAACGCUGGCGGCAUGCCUAACACAUGCAAGUCGAACGAGACCUUCGGGUCUAGUGGCGCACGGGUGCGUAACGCGUGGGAACCUGCCCUUAGGUUCGGAAUAACUCUCCGAAAGGGGUGCUAAUACCGGAUAAUGUCUUCGGACCAAAGAUUUAUCGCCUUUGGAUGGGCCCGCGUUGGAUUAGCUAGUUGGUAGGGUAAAAGCCUACCAAGGCGACGAUCCAUAGCUGGUCUGAGAGGAUGAUCAGCCACACUGGGACUGAGACACGGCCCAGACUCCUACGGGAGGCAGCAGUGGGGAAUAUUGGACAAUGGGCGAAAGUCUGAUCCAGCAAUGCCGCGUGAGUGAUGAAGGCCUUAGGGUUGUAAAGCUCUUUUACCCGGGAUGAUAAUGACAGUACCGGGAGAAUAAGCUCCGGCUAACUCCGUG
rnacentral:rRNA from 1 species